AUUGAACGCUGGCGGAAUGCUUUACACAUGCAAGUCGAACGGCAGCACGGGGGCAGCCCUGGUGGCGAGUGGCGAACGGGUGAGUAAUACAUCAGAACGUGCCCGGUCGUGGGGGAUAACGUAGCGAAAGUUACGCCAAUACCGCAUACGAUCUGAGGAUGAAAGCGGGGGACCUUCGGGCCUCGCGCGAUCGGAGCGGCCGAUGUCAGAUUAGGUAGUUGGUGGGGUAAAGGCCUACCAAGCCGACGAUCUGUAGCUGGUCUGAGAGGACGACCAGCCACACUGGGACUGAGACACGGCCCAGACUCCUACGGGAGGCAGCAGUGGGGAAUUUUGGACAAUGGGCGCAAGCCUGAUCCAGCCAUUCCGCGUGCAGGACGAAGGCCUUCGGGUUGUAAACUGCUUUUGUACGGAACGAAAAGGCUCUGGCUAAUACCUGGGGCUCAUGACGGUACCGUAAGAAUAAGCACCGGCUAACUACGUG
rnacentral:rRNA from 1 species